GUCGAAAGAAAAUAGUCCAUCAUGGCCGACCAAGAAGAUGUUCAAACAACCAAGAGAUAUGUUAGUCCAAAGACAGAAUGAGGAGCGAACUUUUACCACUUAUUUGUGUAGAAGAGUAGGUGCAGCUGACUCUGAUUCCCGGCUUGUUCUAAUGAAAAAAGGCAGAUGAGGCACUGGAAUCCAAAUGUAAUCAAAAAUGCCAUUGUAUGAGGGUUGACCUGCAAUGCAUGGCAAUCAUCUUAACACAACUGCAACGCCUUCCUUGGAAAAAUGAGUGCAAGAUGGAAACAAAGCGUUCAGUGGAACAUCUUGUCAUCUCAAAUAUUUGAUGACUUACAUAUUGAUGUGAAGUUGAAGAUAAAAGUCAUCUGUUGGUCCGUGAUUAUUAAAUAAAUCCGAACAUAUAUUUUAAAAGGGUAAAAUGAUAAAGGAUUUAUAUACGCUUUAAGUGGUUUUCCUAUAUUAUGGAGGGAAGAUAACUUCAAAAACAGAAACAGAUGGCAUCAGCAGACCAAAUAAAGGAGAACUAUUUUGUUCAGUUUAAUUUUUAAGACUGCAGAAAAUCUGUUAAUAGAGCACAUCCUUGCAAAUGCCAUAUUGUAAACUGGGCUCUUUAAAAUGUGAAAAGGUGAAAGUGGUCUAGAGGAUAAGCCCUCCAAGAUACUUUCUCUUGACCUCAGGAAAAGGAUGUCCAUACUUGUUUCUUCUUAGGCAACAGACUUAAGAGUGAUUUUGUAAGCUUCCAGCUUGCAUAGCAAUCUGAUAAGGCAUAAAAUAAGUACUAGCUGACUUGCAAACAGUUUUUCCAUUUGUGUUGAUUUAUUUUUCAGUCUGUUGGAAUGUUUAUUAGAAGUGAUGCGCAUUGCUUACUGCAACCAAUAUUAAUUUUCUUUAUUAAGUUGAAUUUAACAAACACAUAACAUGGCUUGUGAUUUUACGGUUGGCUGAUACAUGUUUAUUUCGUUGAUUGUAUGAGUUUAUUUUCUCAAAUGAUGUAAUAAAAAAUUCUGAAUGACUGUC